GAUUUUGCUGGGGACCAAAGUGUCCGGAUUAACGAGGUUCCACUGUACCUACCAUUUUAAAAGUUUUAAUGACCCGAUUUUGAGCUGCAAUUUACAUUCCUCUACAGAUGCACAAAUUGACAAAGUUUUUGGAUUCUAGGACUCAAAUCUACAGAAGGCCAUAUUUGGCAUAACCAUUUUUAGGCUCCAUAUCAUCCUAAUUAUAGGUCACAGUGACCUUGAUUUAGAGUGUGAUACACCUUCUACUGAAGAUGCAUUAACUGCCCAUGUUUGAUGAUUCUAGACCAAAUAAUUGUCUAGUUACAAGUUGGAAAGGAUUUUGCCAUAUUCGGACAUAUUGUCUUAAUCAAAGGUCACAGUGACCUGACUUUAAAGUGUGACCCAACCUCUACCCAAGAUAUAUCAGCUGACAAAGUUAGAUGAUUCUAAGUCUCAUAUUAUUUAAAUUAUGGGCCAGACACGAAGUGGGACAGACAAACAGACGAGAUCACCAUAACAUAAUAUAUCCUGUCUUAGAGAGGCCUAUAAAAUUCACUACAAACAUUUCCAGUUUCUCACCGUUUCUGGUUGCUUAAAUGGCUAUAAAUUGCUUUCAGAAUACUGUAGUAGCUUCUCUCAUAAAACCACAUGCAUCUAAAUUUGCUACAAUAUGAUCAUGUGAAAUACAAUCAAAAAUGCUUUUGAUAAAUCUAUCAUAAUUGCUGCAGUGUAUUUGUUAUGAUCAAGAGUUAAUUUCCAAUCUACAACAAUUUUUAGUGGUACACUUUGACAUCCAUAUCCAGGUCUAAAAGCUGAUAAGAUAUCAUUCAAAUGGUAAUUGAUAAACUCUGAUAGCUGACUAUGAAUAACCCUUCCAAAAAUGUAGACAAUGUAGGGCAAUAUACUGACAGGCCUGUAGUUUCCCUUUUCUAGAAUACUUUUCUUUUUGUGUAUAUUAGGAACAACUUGUGCUAUUUUCAUACAAUCAGGAAACAGUGCAGCUCUGUGUGAACAGAUUUCAAUCUUGAGACUAAAUGAGGACGUUCAUAUGUUUUAACAAAUACUUGUGGUUCUUCAAAAGACCAAACACAAUUAAACCUGCCCAAAUGGGACAAAUUCAAAGUGAGGCAUACUCGAAAUACUGUACAGCAUCAUAUAGUUAUACAACAAAUUAUCAAUCUAAUUAAAACUAAACCGCUUAGAUCCGUGCCGUAUACUCUGAGUAAGAAGAUCUGACAUAACCCAACUAGGGGUCAUGUUCAUGUAAACUUUAUGUUAGCCAAUCAGCGCAUCGCCUAUGAAUUUGCCGGUGUUCACAAUUCAAGGAAAACGGUUGCGAUUAUUUGGUUUGAAAGAAAACACAUCCCAGCUAGAUGUGACGUCACAAUGCACCGUUUACGUCGAAUGGCGUUAUAUUCCUCGCGUUAAUUAAGUAAACCAUUUUGAAAACUAUUCAAAUCUUACCCAUCGCUAUUCAUACAUAUUAAAAUCGCAAUUCACAAUCAAUUUUAUUUGGGUGUAUAUUAUAUCGUACGUUUUAUUGUUUGUAUGAACGGAAUAGAUUCAACAUUACUGCAAAAAAUUAAAAUUCCUUAUAUACAAUUUUAUAGUGUGGAAUAAACUUCGUGGGAGAGAGAUUACUGCAACUAAUCUACGAAUUGCCAGGAACCGUCUAAAUAGCCAUCAUUGUCUGUAUGGCGAAAUCUGAUAGUUAUCAUGAAUAUUCCAAGCGAAAGGUCAUGCGGACAUGAUCCCCUAUGGGGUUAUGUCAGAUCCUAUUGUAGUGAUUGUGAGCCUAUCUUAGGAUCUGCCUUUAAUUAGAUUGAACAUAUUAUGAAUCUAACUGACCUUUUCACUAGCCAAAUGACCUUGUAUCAGGGUCAUGACAUAUCUUGCCAUAAUCAACCUUUGUGCAAUUAUCAGCUUCUACUGUCUCUAAUUACAAAGUUAUGACCUGUGCAAAAAUUUAAAACUUUUUUUAAUGGGUGACCUUGGACAAAGAUCAUAACACCGUCUGACCAUAACAACCUCCGUGCCAAGUAUUAGCGUUUAAUGUCAUGCUCCAGUACACAGUUAAGGCAUGAAUAAAAUUAGCGAGAUGAAAAGAGAGAAAAACAGGGCGAUCCCUUUACAUGCUAUAUACACAACAACCCCCUCCCCCCUUAAAAAAAAAAAUUUGCGGAAGAUUUGAUUAAAGUUGAAUUAACUCCAUCAAUUAAACUAACAUCAAUGAAACUAAUAUAUGCAAAUAUUACUCCUUAGGACCGAGGAGUUCUUCUGAUGUCAUAUUCUGAAUGCUAUAGAUGUAUGGUAUCACUUGGGAUUUCAGUCCGUAGGUGGACAUUCAUGGACAAAUACUGCCCAUUUCAUUGGGUUGUUCAUGAAUAAGUCUCCCUCAUGACACAAUAACUUCCUUACUAAUGUCAGGGCACAGAUGUAAAAUUUUGGGACAGAAAAACUAUUAACAAACAACAUUCUCCCUUCAUAAACUCACACUGUUAUCAUUUAAGCAUUGAACAUUUUAAUUUUGACAUCUAUCAUGUUUACAAUAAGGAACAGUUCACAUGUUAUGAUAAUUCACAUGCACAACAUUUCCUGCUAUUUGUACAAUAGAAAUUUUUCCUAAUCUUCAUUUAAGGAGGUACUCUACAUCAUCAUAAUGGCUGACUUCCUAUUAAAACAUGGAUUGAAAUAUAAAUAUCAGCAAUAUUUGUCUAUUCAUUUCAAAUAUUAUUGCCUAUAGCUGAGUAGCUCAGUCCGGUUAACAUAUCAACUGCCGAACUGCAGAUCGCAGGUUCGAGUCCAGCAGAGGUUUUAGAUUUUUUUUUAGAUUGCUUUCUACUAAAACUGCAUUUUUUGACUAAAUAAAGUAAAUUUGAAAGUUUUCAAUUUCAAAAUAUUGUUGUACAUAUCCUCUACUUUUCAUUCAUAUCAUAUUUUUCUGGCAUUCCUCCUUAACACUUAUAUUUUCUCAAUAAAAUACUUUUAUACUUUGAAAUUUACCACUUAGUACACAUUUGAGAAAUUAACAAAACAGCUUGUUCAACGAACUAGAUACUGGUUUUACAUAGGUUUUAACCAGUUCUAGCACAUGAAGAGCCUGUUGUCCAUGCAUUGUGAAGUCCCUGUGUUUCUAAGGGGAAGGAAGGCAAAAAAAAAAGCACUCUUUCUCUCACUUUUAUUUUGGAAUAUAUAUACCAAUUAAACCUUGUAAUGUAAAUUGAAUGGGAAAUAUACAGCAGAAUAUAUAAAAACUUUUAUCUGAUAUAUUUAUUGUAUCUCAAAAGAAAAAGUUAUCCCUAUAUAAAGCCAAUCACAUCAAACAGUUACAAACCCUAAAAACAUAUUACCUGUACAGCCGACCCAGACUCAUGUAUCAAAAAAUGUCUUAUAUCUACAAAUGUACAGAUUAAAUAUAUGAAGUAUAUAAUUAUAUAUAUAUGGCACUUCUUUAUAAAAAUCCAGGUAAUGGGAACAUGACAUGAGCUUAGGUAAAACAGGUACAAAUCUUGUGACCUGACUAAAAACUAACAAAAUGAAUCAUGUAUAUACAUGUUAUGAUGUAGGUUACAAUUUUAUCUUUCAGAUAGUGCACACCCUUAUCCAAUAUGUAGGGGAACUCUGCUUUUGUUUUCGUUGUUAUGGAAUUUUAUAAAGCAAAAAUUGGGAAAAUUAAAUGCUUUUUAGCAUUGGGAAUGGGGCCUAUUUUAGCCCUCUACAGACCCUAUAAAUAUCCCUGGUACUUAUUCUUGUUAUAUUGAGGAGGAGGGGGGGGGGGGGGGGGGGGGGGGGGGGGGGGGGGAGUUCAACAUCUUUCAAAUUUUCUAAAUUUUUUUUGUACCAAAAAGUAAUAUGAACAGCAACAUACCAUUACAACACCACCAUAUAAACCAGAUCCUAUAUAAUGGUAAAUAUUCGACGAAAUAAACACAGCUCUUGAUCACUGAUUUAGUGUCAACAAUAUUAUGUCACAUAUAAGACAUACAGGAUAAACAAAACGGAAAUUACAGACCAUGUGUACUGUGAUAAAUACUUAGAGACAGACAAAGGAUAGGUGUUAACUAUAGUAUAUCAGAGUCUGUUUACACUUACAUCUCUGUACGUAUAUAACCCAGUAAACAUUAAAAUUUGCUGCUACUUUAUCAAUACUGUAGUUAUCUUCAUAUUGCAGUUUGGUGUUUCGUCUCAUUUCAAAUUGUGGAAAUACACGUACAGCUCUACAGGACAUCACUUUCUAUAUAGUUUAACUAGUUAAGAUAAAAUCUUGACUAGAUGCCAUUAAAACAAUAAAUGUAGCUAGAUGACAACACAUCUUUUACCUGCACUUUAAAAUUGCCAUUUUAGAGAUCUAACAUAUACUUAGAACUGCAGGGCACAUCAUUAAGAUUCAAAAUCUUUACGUCAAAACAUUUUAUAGUCUAAAUCCUGCAGGUCCAAUAUUUUUUUAAAAGUCAGAAUGUUACCAUGUGAUCAUCUACCAUGAUUAAAAUGCUUUUAUGAAUCUGACACAUUAUGGAACAAAAUCAAAAGAUCAAUGUUGGAUAAAAAUCUAACUUAAAGUAGUUCGGGAGAUGGUGGGAGGGGGGGGGGGGGUCCUAACCUCAAACAUUUAUUAAUUCUCAUGAUAUUUUGGGGAACAAAUUUAAGUUUUCUCGUGUAGACCUAAAACCUAAAGCCUACAAGUACACUUUCAUAUGUGAAUAAACAGUAGAAAAUGUAUACGGUAUAUAUUAAUUAUAUAUGAAUAUAAUAAUAAUAUAUAAAUAAUUUAUAUGAAUGUACUUAUUAUAAAUACAUCUCCAAAAAAGUCAAAUCUUUUCAAUUACUUUUCAAUUGUAUUCUUUAAUCAAAUUAACUUUAAAGUUUGAAAAUGAUGGAAUGAAUGUUAUAAUAUUAUGAUGUUAGACUGUUUCCCUGUUUGUGCAUUAAUUAGAUGUCUCUGUAUGUCUAUAUACUUGAUGCAGCAUGGGCCACAGUGCCCAGGGCUAUAGGUGUAGGUCUAAUUUUGUUCAGGUGUGAACCACUCUCAUUCCUGAGAACAAAGGAACAGGUACAAAAAAUACCUGAGUAAGAGUUCACUUCAUUCAGAUAUUACAUUCAGAACUAAACAUGACUCAAGAUUUUUAGCAGAAUUCCUCAAAAAGUUUGAAUGAAGACGAAUCAUUGUGAACAGCCUUCGCGGUCAAGUCUUUAAGACAUUUUGAAAUAAACUUCAGUAACUGAAAUGUAUUUAUCAUAAUUACAUUCUUCAAAGUAAUUGAGAGUAAUUAAUUAAAUUGGUUAAAAUCAACGUAAUUGUAAUUGGAAGUAAUUGGCAUCAGACAAAAUCAUGAAAGUAUUUGUAAUUGACUCCAUAACUGGUUACCAUGGGGCAUACUAUAUACUUUUAACAUUACAUAACACAAGAACUAGUGGAACUAACCAUGUGUAAAAUGAAGAGGAAAAAUUCACGUGACUGGACUGCGAAUCCAACCCUGGACCUAUGUCACUAGUUUGAUGCUUUACACGCUGAACUAUAUUAAGGCAUUAUUAUACAGGGUUCGAAAUUAACUCAUGUCCGUAAGUCCGAGACUAGUAGAAAACGUGUUGGACUAGUGAACUCUCUAUAGCACUAGUCCAUACGGACUAGUGAAAAUCCAGAAAUCAAUUUUGAAUUGGUAAAGAUUUUAGCAAGAUUUGUCUGAGUCUUUUAGAUGUUUGAACUUAUGGUUGAUUACCUGCAUGGUCAGGUGUUUGCAUGACUAUGACAGUCUGAGUGUGGUCUGAGAACAUGCACGUUUGUAUCCACAUAUUCUCGUCAUUCGCGACUCUAACACAGUAGUUCAUAACACUAUAGCUCAUGACUUGGUCAAUCGAGUGAAUUUUAUUGACUUUAUUGAUAAAAUUUCGAACUCCUGUGACUCUAAGGUCUGUACACCAAAACAACAGGAACGUCGAUCUUGAACGCACUUAUGGACGUUUAUCAAAGGAUUAACUCGGAGGUUAAGAUUGUAUGCUUUUGAAGAUCUUGAAUGCGAAAUAAAAUAUGGUGGUCUCUUUUUCUUCUGUAGGUGUCAGAAAUUGAAUUGUUUGCAACUGUGAUGUGUUUAGUUUGAUUAAAAUGAAGAUCAAUUUUAGAUAUACUGGACGGACUAGUGAAAUGCUUUGCGGACUAGUGAACAUCAAUAGUGACUAGUCCGUACGGACUAGUGCUUGAAAAAGUUAAUUUCGAACCCUGGUCUAUCUUCCAUGUCACAUAGAUCACUUUCCCUCCCCGUUUCUUACCUCAAAGAAAAAUCCCCAAUGAGACUCUAAAUUUCUCCACUUGGGUAAUUUAGUUCGGUACCAAUGUAAUUAGCUGCAGAACUGUAAUGGCUAUGUAAACAGUCAAACUUGAUCGAAGCUGUGAAUUUUCAGUUUGAAAGGGGCUUUAACAGGAUGUUUGUCUUGACACAAGUGAAAUGGAAUAAUGUUAGAAUAAUUUUUACUGAAUUAUAUGAUAUAUAAGACCUGAAUCAUGUGCAGAAAAAGUUGAGCUGUACAUUGAAUGCUUAAUAAUAAGAGCUUAAAAGGUAGAUCUGAAGCAAAAUUGUUCUUACUAAAUUAAAAGUCACGUCUCUUCAACUGGUUCACCAAAUGUGCUAUGCUCACCCCAAUAAGAGCAAAACAUGAUGUUAAUUACAAUUAUGUGGUAUUUGGUGUAGAUUUUAUUAAUGCUGUUAAAAGAUUUCCAGCAGCUCAUCAUCCUGGACAAUCUGGGAUUUGCAGUCAUUUUGAAAUGCGAAUAUAACUAUAGUUUCCGAAUCAAUAACAUUCUUCCAUUAUAAUAACAGGAUAAAGUGAUUGAUAGAUUAGCAACAAGACAUUAGAACUUACGUCAUUUCUGUCUAAUGAGAGAGAGAAAAAUCCUCUAUGUUAUCAAUGCACCUUUUUCAUUCAUCGUUACAUCCAUCAUAAAUUAUUUCCGGAAA